GUGCUCACUUCAGCAUCACAUAUACUAAAAUUAGAACAAUACAGAGAUUAGCAUGGUCCAUGAGCAAGGAUGGCAUGCAAAUUUGUGAAGCAUUCCAUAUUAAA